rnacentral:piRNA from 1 species
UGAGAAACAUUGAAGAGAAAAAUAGUUGGA